rnacentral:rRNA from 1 species
AGUUGGUGUGGUAACGGCUCACCAAACCUACGAUGGAUAGGGGUUCUGAGAGGAAGGUCCCCCACACUGGAACUGAGACACGGUCCAGACUCCUACGGGAGGCAGCAGUGAGGAAUAUUGGUCAAUGGGCGCGAGCCUGAACCAGCCACGUCGCGUGAAGGAUGACGGCCUUAUGGGUUGUAAACUUCUUUUACAGGGGAAUAAAGUGAGUCACGUGUGAUUUUUUGCAUGUACCCUGUGAAUAAGCAUCGGCUAACUCCGUGCCAGCAGCCGCGGUAAUACGGAGGAUGCGAGCGUUAUCCGGAUUUAUUGGGUUUAAAGGGUGCGUAGGCGGGAUAUUAAGUCAGCGGUGAAAGUUUUCGGCUCAACCUUAAAAUUGCCGUUGAAACUGUUAUUCUUGAGUGCAGUAGAGGUAGGCGGAAUUCGUUGUGUAGCGGUGAAAUGCGUAGAUAUAACGAGGAACUCCGAUUGCGUAGGCAGCUUACUAUAUUGCUACUGACGCUGAGGCACGAAAGUGUGGGUAUCAAACAGGAUUAGAUACCCUGGUAGUCCACACAGUAAACGAUGAAUACUAGCUGUUUGCGAUAUAUUGUA